UCGCGGCCUAUCAGCUUGUUGGUGGGGUAAUGGCCUACCAAGGCGGCGACGGGUAGCCGGCCUGAGAGGGUGGACGGCCACAUUGGGACUGAGAUACGGCCCAGACUCCUACGGGAGGCAGCAGUGGGGAAUAUUGCACAAUGGGCGCAAGCCUGAUGCAGCGACGCCGCGUGGGGGAUGACGGCCUUCGGGUUGUAAACUCCUUUCGCUAGGGACGAAGCUUUUUGUGACGGUGCCUAGAUAAGAAGCACCGGCUAACUACGUGCCAGCAGCCGCGGUAAUACGUAGGGUGCGAGCGUUGUCCGGAAUUACUGGGCGUAAAGGGCUCGUAGGUGGUUUGUCGCGUCGUCUGUGAAAUUCCGGGGCUUAACUCCGGGCGUGCAGGCGAUACGGGCAUAACUUGAGUACUGUAGGGGUAACUGGAAUUCCUGGUGUAGCGGUGAAAUGCGCAGAUAUCAGGAGGAACACCGAUGGCGAAGGCAGGUUACUGGGCAGUUACUGACGCUGAGGAGCGAAAGCAUGGGUAACGAACAGGAUUAGAUACCCUGGUAGUCCAUGCCGUAAACGGUGGGCGCUAGGUGUGAGGGUCUUUUCACGACUUUCGUGCCGUAGCUAACGCAUUAAGCGCCCCGCCUGGGGAGUACGGA
rnacentral:rRNA from 1 species